UACGUAGGGUCCGAGCGUUGUCCGGAAUUAUUGGGCGUAAAGAGCUCGUAGGCGGUCUGUCGCGUCGGCUGUGAAAACUCAGGGCUCAACCCUGAGCCUGCAGUCGAUACGGGCAGACUAGAGUUCGGUAGGGGAGACUGGAAUUCCUGGUGUAGCGGUGAAAUGCGCAGAUAUCAGGAGGAACACCGGUGGCGAAGGCGGGUUGCUGGGCUGACACUGACGCUGAGGCGCGAAAGCUAGGGGAGCGAACGGG
rnacentral:rRNA from 1 species